rnacentral:rRNA from 1 species
GACGAACGCUGGCGGCGUGCCUAAUACAUGCAAGUUGAGCGCUGAAGGUUGGUACUUGUACCAACUGGAUGAGCAGCGAACGGGUGAGUAACGCGUGGGGAAUCUGCCUUUGAGCGGGGGACAACAUUUGGAAACGAAUGCUAAUACCGCAUAAAAACUUUAAACACAAGUUUUAAGUUUGAAAGAUGCAAUUGCAUCACUCAAAGAUGAUCCCGCGUUGUAUUAGCUAGUUGGUGAGGUAAAGGCUCACCAAGGCGAUGAUACAUAGCCGACCUGAGAGGGUGAUCGGCCACAUUGGGACUGAGACACGGCCCACACUCCUCCGGGAGGCAGCAGUAGGGAAUCUUCUGCAAUGGACGAAAGUCUGACCGAGCAACGCGGCGUGAGUGAAGAAGGUGUUCGGAUCGUAAAACUCUGUUGGUAGAGAAGAACGUUUGUGAGAGUGGAAAGCUCAUCAAGUGACGGUAACUACCCAGAAAGGGACGGCUAACUACGUG